GCGGUUCAGCAGGACCACAAACAACCAGAUGCUUUCCCUGAAGAAUAAGAAGGCCGUCCAGAAGAGUGCGGCGGUGAAGUUCAUAAACCAGGACUGGGGAUUAGAAGAGAAAAGAAAAGCCGAGAAGUUCAAGCAGCGAUGGAUUCAAAAGACGACGAAGACACAAAGCUGAGAAGAACGCGAGGCGAGUCGCUAAACUGUGGAGUGGAAGGCAGAGAUGGCAAAUUCCAAGGUGAUGUCACGGAAGUGAAUUGUACCUGCUGAGGUGUCGAGGUUUAGGGCACACUUGGGGUACCAUAAUUGAAAGGUAUGCAGGUUUGAGGGGCCAUCGUUGGUGAAAUGACACGAGAUGAACAUUUGUGACGACCCAGUAAACGUUAUACGAGUAUUUAAGGCUGUCGAUCCUUGAUGGAUCUUUACAGCUGCUGUUUUUGUGGCCAAAUGCUGAGCCACCACAAGUUGAUUUUUUAAUAAAUUUGAAAGUUUGGAUCUCAAA